rnacentral:lncRNA from 1 species
UUUCAGUCUUUGAAUUUCCCCCAGGUCCACCCACCUGGCUGUGCUGGGAGCUCUGGCUAAUGCCAGAGACCCCAGCAGUCCUCUCCAGAACCAAUGCAAUGGUGUGUGCUCAGGCAUCUGGCUGGAGUGAAAUGAACAUCUCUUCAUGAAGAAGCCAUUGAAGGAGCUUCACUGUCUGCAGUUUACAGCCUGUAUUGGAGAGCAGGAAUGUGCUCAGUCCUGAACACUGCAGAAAGGGAGAACGCUUUCUGAGCAUACUGGUAUCUCAUGUAACCUCUUGCCCUGCAAACUCCAUCUAAAAUGACAACAUCUCUGGAGAGAUUUCUCUGCAUGAUAAACUGCGUUGCAGCCUACCUCUGGUUUAACACACGCUGUAGCAGGCACCAGAAUGUUUGGAGCUCUCUGGUGUAACCUUUGGAGAAGUCAUACGCUAUCAUCACUCUUCCUCUCCACCCACCGAGCUACAGCUGAGGUGACAUGGGAUCGGACGAUUCGGAGAAGAACCUCAGGGCAGGGCUGCCUGAAAUAUCCAGGAGCAUUGACCCUGGGAUACAUGUGGCAGCAGCCCCAGUUGUCCCCUGUGGCAGUGAGUGUGGUAAUUGUACACUGUGAACAGGCACCCUCUUCCCCAAGGAAUUUGAAGUUAUGCAAUUUUUUACAUCUGACUGGGAUUUCAGAGGCUCUGAGUGCUCAGGCAGAGUAA